GGAAUUCUAUGAAAUUGUGGAGACUCUCUGGAAGGAUCGAGGGGUCCAACAAAGUUUCGAAAGGAGUAACGAGUACCAACUCAUUGACUGCGCCAAGUAUUUCCUAGACAAGGUAGCCAUCGUCAAACAGCCAGAUUAUACACCAACAGAACAGGAUAUUCUUAGGUGUCGAGUCCUUACAUCUGGAAUCUUCGAGACGCGGUUUCAGGUUGACAAAGUUAACUUUCA